rnacentral:rRNA from 1 species
UACAGAGGGUGCGAACGUUGUUCGGAUUUACUGGGCGUAAAGCGCGUGUAGGCGGUCUCGCAAGUCGGAUGUGAAAUCCCCGGGCUCAACCUGGGAACUGCAUUUGUGACUGCAUAGCUAGAGUACGGUAGAGGGGGAUGGAAUUCCGCGUGUAGCAGUGAAAUGCGUAGAUAUGCGGAGGAACACCGAUGGCGAAGGCAAUCCCCUGGACCUGUACUGACGCUCAUGCACGAAAAGCGUGGGGGAGCAAACAGG